rnacentral:lncRNA from 1 species
AUCCACUAUCUACAGUCUAUUCUGAGCCUUAAAUGGGUGGAAAGGAGAGUGGUGAGAUUAUAUAAUCCCAAUUAGUAAACAAAUACGAUCUAAAAUAUCUAAAGCUGAGUAAAUGGAGACAGAUUAAAAUAGAUCAUCAUACUGUAAUUUAUCACCUUUCAACUCAUUUUAACCAAAUAAAAUCAAUUCAUAUAAAUCGAGUAAUCAACAUGGCUUAUAAAUUUCUUAAAAUUUUGGUUCGUGCCAAAAUCAUUCUCAUACUCAGUUAUUAGGGAUACCUUGGCAUGGGGCUAUCCCAACCGAGUCCGCCAAGGCUGUUAAAAAUUUCGUAUACACAUAAACAUAUUUUUAUUUUGAAAACAUAGUCGUUCCUUGGCAUUGGCUGAGUUCACCCUCACGUGGUGGUUUGGCGUGAAGUGAACUCUAAGAGUGUACCUCGGGAGUUACCCUACACGCCUCUCCAACCGAGGUAAGAAUAUAACAGGGUUACCAUGCCCCUCUAAUAGGCUAAAUAAAAUCUAAACCCACCAAUUCAAUAAAAUCUCAAUCGCAUGACAUGGCAAUUAUAUCACAAUCUAACCUCUCAAGGCUAAAUACACAGUUCAUAUAUUUUCAGCACAUUUACCAAUUCAGCCAUUCAUGCAACUAUUGUCAUAAGCCAUUCGAUUCAAACCAUGAAUUUAAAAAACAUGAAAACAGUCUCCAAUUACUCUAUUUUCAAAACCAUCAUUCAAUCUCAAGACAAUUUUAUAAAAUCAUUUUCAUUUAAUCUCAUUUUGCUUAUAAAACAUAAAGAUUUACUAUUUAAUCUCAUUUUCCAUAAAAUCACAAAAUCGAAUAAAACCACUUUAGAUAAUUAAGACGAUAGUAAGGUUACUCACUAUUUUGGGAGUCGAAUUUCAAGUACUCCGAUUCUUGAUCCUCGGGUACUAUCUCUUUACUUUUGCCAGAAUGCUCACCACCUAGACAUAAUGCACAAUAAGCCAUUUACUACAUUUGUGCUAAAUUGUUAUAAAACCAAUUUAGGCUCUAUACUAAUGCAUGAAAUGGGAUGUAAAUUGUUCGGAUUAUCGUCUAAACACGAUGUUCUACACAAAUUUAAUUGUGUACUUAAAUAAAACGGUAUUGGCCUAAUUCGAUCUAUCACUCGAUUAAUUGGUCAAUAUGUCCAAUUCAACUCCAAUUAACUCCAUAUUUCUUCUAAUUCUCCAAAUCAUCAAACAUAAAUUAAAUAACUUGAAAUAUGGCAAAAUCAUCCUCACAUUUUUUCUUGGGAAUUUCGGCCGUGGUGGGUGCAUCAACACUUUGAUAUUUCCUACUUGAUUUUCUCACCAUAAUUCAUCAUUUCCUAACCAAUUCACUUGAAAUAAAAUCAAAUCCACCAUCCACACUUUACAUGGAAAAUUUAGCCAAUGAUGGGUGAUGGAAGAACAUGAAUUUUUCUUGCUUGAUUUUCAUGCUACACAUCACUAACUAACUAAAAACACUAAAAUAUCUUAAAAUCUAAUCAAAUCAAGCAUCAAAACUCCUCCCCCCAUGGUCGGCCAGCAAGGGAUUCAUCAUGCCAACUUGAUUCUCAACCAUGGAAAAUGCAAAAUAAUGCAUAGGAAAGGUAGAUCACAAGCUAGAAUUGAAAAAUCUUACCUUUUUUCACUUGUUUCCUUGAAUUUUCACACUUUUCCCUUGAAUUUUUCCACCUAGGUUUUUUGUUCUUCUUUUCUUCCUUUGUUCUUCCUUUGG